CUCAACUCUCUUAUAGCCCUAACCGCAUGGAGUAUCUGGAAGCAUCGAAACACCGCUCUCUUCAACGACCUUCGGCGAUCUACCGGCGAGCUCGUCCGCACAAUCAAGGAGGAGGCUCGGCUUUGGGCAAAAGCUAGAGCUCAAGGACUAGCACUAGUUAUUCCUGUAGUCUAG
rnacentral:rRNA from 1 species